rnacentral:rRNA from 1 species
GAUGAACGCUGGCGGCGUGCCUAAUACAUGCAAGUCGAGCGAACAGACGAGGAGCUUGCUCCUCUGACGUUAGCGGCGGACGGGUGAGUAACACGUGGAUAACCUACCUAUAAGACCGGGAUAACUUCGGGAAACCGGAGCUAAUACCGGAUAAUAUAUUGAACCGCAUGGUUCAAUAGUGAAAGACGGUUUUGCUGUCACUUAUAGAUGGAUCCGCGCCGCAUUAGCUAGUUGGUAAGGUAACGGCUUACCAAGGCAACGAUGCGUAGCCGACCUGAGAGGGUGAUCGGCCACACUGGAACUGAGACACGGUCCAGACUCCUACGGGAGGCAGCAGUAGGGAAUCUUCCGCAAAGGGCGAAAGCCUGACGGAGAAACGCCGCGUGAGUGAUGAAGGUCUUCGGAUCGUAAAACUCUGUUAUUAGGGAAGAACAAAUGUGUAAGUAACUAUGCACGUCUUGACGGUACCUAAUCAGAAAGCCACGGCUAACUACGUG